rnacentral:rRNA from 1 species
AGUCGAGCGGUAGAGAGGUGCUUGCACCUCUUGAGAGCGGCGGACGGCUGUGUAAAGCCUAGGAAUCUGCCUGGUAGUGGGGGAUAACGCUCGGAAACGGACGCUAAUACCGCAUACGUCCUACGGGAGAAAGCAGGGGACCUUCGGGCCUUGCGCUAUCAGAUGAGCCUAGGUCGGAUUAGCUAGUUGGUGAGGUAAUGGCUCACCAAGGCGACGAUCCGUAACUGGUCUGAGAGGAUGAUCAGUCACACUGGAACUGAGACACGGUCCAGACUCCUACGGGAGGCAGCAGUGGGGAAUAUUGGACAAUGGGCGAAAGCCUGAUCCAGCCAUGCCGCGUGUGUGAAGAAGGUCUUCGGAUUGUAAAGCACUUUAAGUUGGGAGGAAGGGCAUUAACCUAAUACGUUAGUGUUUUGACGUUACCGACAGAAUAAGCACCGGCUAACUCUGUGCCAGCAGCCGCGGUAAUACAGAGGGUGCAAGCGUUAAUCGGAAUUACUGGGCGUAAAGCGCGCGUAGGUGGUUCGUUAAGUUGGAUGUGAAAUCCCCGGGCUCAACCUGGGAACUGCAUUCAAAACUGUCGAGCUAGAGUAUGGUAG